CCCUUACGGCCAGGGCNACACACUACNNCANUGGUAGGGACAGAGGGNUGCAAGCCGGCGACGGUAAGCCAAUCCCAGAAACCNNAUCUCAGUCCGGAUGGAGUCUGCAACUNGACUCCAUGAAGUCGGAAUCGCUAGUAAUCGCAGAUCAGCAUUGNUGCGGUGAAUACGUUCCCGGGCCUUGUACACACCGCCCGUCACACCAUGGGAGUUUGUUGCACCAGAAGCAGGUAGCUUAACCUUCGGGAGGGCGCUG
rnacentral:rRNA from 1 species